GUCAAGUGAGGGUUCAGAGUCAUCUGCUGAAUUUGGCCUCUCUGGUGGAAGGCAGAGGCUAUCUCUGAGGCAUCCAGACGUGCUUAGACCUAUCCAGAGGACUGACCGCAGCUCUUGGUUUUGAACCAAAAAUUUUGGCUAAUUCACCUUGAGAGAGUGACCAUUGGUUAGAAGGUGAGUAGAAGGAGAAUGGGAGAGAAAAAUCCUUAGCCAAUUGAUUAGUUGAAACUUGAAAUA
rnacentral:lncRNA from 1 species